rnacentral:rRNA from 1 species
AUUGAACGCUGGCGGCAGGCCUAACACAUGCAAGUCGAGCGGUAGCACAGAGAGCUUGCUCUCGGGUGACGAGCGGCGGACGGGUGAGUAAUGUCUGGGAAACUGCCUGAUGGAGGGGGAUAACUACUGGAAACGGUAGCUAAUACCGCAUAACGUCGCAAGACCAAAGUGGGGGACCUUCGGGCCUCAUGCCAUCAGAUGUGCCCAGAUGGGAUUAGCUGGUAGGUGGGGUAACGGCUCACCGAGGCGACGAUCCCUAGCUGGUCUGAGAGGAUGACCAGCCACACUGGAACUGAGACACGGUCCAGACUCCUACGGGAGGCAGCAGUGGGGAAUAUUGCACAAUGGGCGCAAGCCUGAUGCAGCCAUGCCGCGUGUGUGAAGAAGGCCUUCGGGUUGUAAAGCACUUUCAGCGGGGGGGAAGGCAUUAAGGUUAAUAACCUUAGUGAUUGACGUUACCCGCAGAAGAAGCACCGGCUAACUCCGUGCCAGCAGCCGCCGUAAUAC